CACGUGGGGGACGAGCGUUGUCCGGAUUCAUUGGGCGUAAAGCGCGCGUAGGCGGCUCGGAAAGUCGGUCGUGAAAUGCCGGGGCUCAACCCCGGGACUGCGUCCGAUACUCCCGAGCUGGAGGCAGGUAGGGGAGAUCGGAAUUCCUGGUGUAGCGGUGAAAUGCGCAGAUAUCAGGAGGAACACCGGUGGCGAAGGCGGAUCUCUGGGCCUUGCCUGACGCUGAGGCGCGAAAGCUAGGGGAGCAAACAGG
rnacentral:rRNA from 1 species